rnacentral:rRNA from 1 species
AUUGAACGCUGGCGGAAUGCUUUACACAUGCAAGUCGAGCGGCAGCACGGGGGUAACCCUGGUGGCGAGCGGCGAACGGGUGAGUAAUACAUCGGAACAUGCCCAGUCGUGGGGGAUAACACUUCGAAAGAAGUGCUAAUACCGCAUACGUCCUGAGGGAGAAAGCGGGGGAUCGCAAGACCUCGCGCGAUUGGAGUGGCCGAUGUCAGAUUAGCUAGUUGGUGGGGUAAAGGCCUACCAAGGCAACGAUCUGUAGCUGGUCUGAGAGGAUGAUCAGCCACACUGGGACUGAGACACGGCCCAGACUCCUACGGGAGGCAGCAGUGGGGAAUUUUGGACAAUGGGGGCAACCCUGAUCCAGCCAUUCCGCGUGAGUGAAGAAGGCCUUCGGGUUGUAAAGCUCUUUCGGCAGGUACGACACGGUGAGCUCUAACAUAGCUUGCUAAUGACGGUACCUGAAGAAGAAGCACCGGCUAACUACGUG